CCUUUCCACGGGGAAGUUUGAGGGCUGGGCAACUCUCGAUCCCACAUCUCCCACCCGAGAUGAUAUUCCAACGCUCCGGAUUGAACCCGACACACGGGGCAAACCGGAGAGACCUCGUGCCAAUCCGAAUCAGAGCAGCAACAGAGAGAUGAGGUGGAGUCGGGGAAAAACCGCCCCUGGAGGGUGUCAAAGGGGGGGAGAUCUGGGUCGCAGGGUUCCAAGACGACAACAAACAGGACGCCUGUUUGAUCGCGGUCACUUUCUUCCAAGGGCUCCCAAAGUCCGGCUCAGCAAGCGAAAUCCCCAGCUCUUUGGCAAAAGAUGGAAAACAUAUUCAGACAGCUUUCAAAGGAAUUAGACCAGAAGGAGAACUGUGAAAAUCCAGAUGCUGUUGGAUUCGAAUCACCAUCAACACCUGGCAACUUGCCCAAUCAUCCAGGGUUGAUGGCAUCUAGGGUCCAACACUGAGCUGUCAACAUGUUUCUCAUCCUUGGAUUACAAAAAUAUAUGAAGAUCAAACCUAACUGCAGGUAAUAGUGAAAUUUUCUGGUUUUGCCUCUUCAGAUAUGUUGGACUUCAGCCUUCAGAUCAACUUACCAUGUAAACAACAACAACAACAACAACAACAACAACAACAACAAUAAUAAUAAUAAACGUUAUUUAUAUUCCGUUCUGUCUCACCGAGGGGACUCAGAGUGGAUUACAGAUUGUAUUAGAAGCUACUUUACAAGACAGAAGAACUUCAGAUGGUAAGGUUAGCUGGAUGAGACCAAAGGACUAUUAUCCUGCAGAUGUUUUGACUACAAUUUCAGUAAUUUCUUAUUAAUGGACAGAUUCACCUGCAUAUCCCACAGAAAACAACUAUAGGAAUGGCUCAAAAAUGCCUCCUAGACAACAUGGGCAUGCUUUGCCAUGUUUUUGGUCCCAUUUUAGUCCUUAGAGUCAUUUUCUGCAAUAGGAAGUAGAAAAGAAAAAAGAGGACUCUGAGACUCCAAUGUGUCCUCUUAUUUUUGCAUUAUAAUUUCCUGAGAGGGGCAAAUGCAGCCUCCUAGGUUCCCACACUUUCCCAUCCCUGUUCUGGGUUCAGUGUACAGUGUUCCCUCACUACUUUGUGGUCCACUAUUUUGCGGGUUUUCCAUUAAUAUUAAUGUACACAUUUAUCGAGGUAUUUUCACUGUUUCAUGGAUUUUUGCGGUGUG